GUUGCGCCAAAUUCAACCAUGUAUGAUAAAGUUAUGUUGUGAAAAUUAAUUCUUGAGAAAUAAAAUAAAGACAUGUCCACAGCACAGGUAGAUCCUGAGCAUGUACGCAGUAUAUCGCAAACGUAGAUUGUGUAUAUCCCAUUAAUAUUCGGAAUACGGCCUAGUUUACACCGAUAUAUUUUAAGGAUCGGCAGGAGUGACGGCCAAACUCCUAAGGUUAUAUCUUAGAACAUAUAUAAAUGGAAGGGAAAUAGCAGGCUGAAAAGUGUCGGAAGGAAGUGAGAAAGAAAAUCGUAGUUGCCUCUCUCUUGUGAGUAACUACACAACAAGCCUCGUGUCUGUAGUAUACAUACUUUUGUGUACACACACAUUAGGUUUGUUCUUUUCAGCUGCACUUUCUGUACUAGUUCAAGAAGUGUACACUGACGCGUUCUUUUUAGCAGAAAUGACGUCAGAGGUGACUGUUCUUUUCAAAAGUGUAGCAGAACUUAGUACAACAGUUCACUGAACUGCCUGCCCCAGGUCUCGAGUUAGUGCAGCGGUACAGUUCAAUUGCGUACGUAAACGAAAACAGUACAAACCGCAAAAAUUCGAAAAAUCAAAAAUAUAUCUAUAUUUGAACCUUUUGUAAUAUAAAAAGAGAUUUACAAACAAAUAUGGAGAAAAGGGCUAGUGCAUAUAUUAAAAGAGACGCAGCAGGAAAUAUUUUAGUUGAUAUAAAUGGAAAUAUUACUUGUGAAUCGAAAGAAGGCGUAAUAUUUCAACUAAAAUAUAAAGAUAUAGAUUUUAGUUGUAAUACAGUGCAAUGUACUGUUGAAGAUCAAUUAGUAUUUAUUAAACUACAUCAAAAUGUAAAACAAAACGAACAAACAAGUACAAAUAACGAACAAAAUAAUAAUGAAAAUUAUGGUCAUGAUGAAAAUACUAAUUAUCAAAAUUAUACUGAAAAUUAUAAUGAAAAUUAUAAUGAAAAUUAUAAUGAAAAUAACACUGCUGGAACAGACCAAGAUAAAAGAGAAAUAUUUUUU